rnacentral:rRNA from 1 species
AGUGAACGCUGGCGGUAGGCCUAACACAUGCAAGUCGAACGGCAGCACAGUAAGAGCUUGCUCUUACGGGUGGCGAGUGGCGGACGGGUGAGGAAUACAUCGGAAUCUACUUUUUCGUGGGGGAUAACGUAGGGAAACUUACGCUAAUACCGCAUACGACCUACGGGUGAAAGCAGGGGCUCUUCGGACCUUGCGCGAUUGAAUGAGCCGAUGUCGGAUUAGCUAGUUGGCGGGGUAAAGGCCCACCAAGGCGACGAUCCGUAGCUGGUCUGAGAGGAUGAUCAGCCACACUGGAACUGAGACACGGUCCAGACUCCUACGGGAGGCAGCAGUGGGGAAUAUUGGACAAUGGGCGCAAGCCUGAUCCAGCCAUACCGCGUGGGUGAAGAAGGCCUUCGGGUUGUAAAGCCCUUUUGUUGGGAAAGAAAAGCAGCAGGUUAAUACCCCGAUGUACUGACGGUACCCAAAGAAUAAGCACCGGCUAACUUCGUG